rnacentral:pre_miRNA from 1 species
UUAAAUCAAAUUUGUAUGGAGUUGGAGCGUUUGCCGCUAGAGGCGCUAUUCCAACUCCAUACAAAUUAGAGUUA